AAGGAAUAUUGGACAAUGGAGGCAACUCUGAUCCAGCCAUGCCGCGUGAAGGAAUAAGGCCCCAUGGGUUGUAAACUUCUUUUAGACGGGACAAAACCCCUUUACGUGUAAAGGGUUGAUGGUACUGUCAGAAUGAGCAUCGGCUAACUUCGUGCCAGCAGCCGCGGUAAUACGAAGGAUGCAAGCGUUAUCCGGAAUUAUUGGGUUUAAAGGGUGCGUAGGCGGACUAAUAAGUCAGUGGUGAAAGCCUGCAGCUUAACUGCAGAAUUGCCAUUGAUACUGUUAGUCUUGAGUACAGUUGAGGUAGGCGGAAUGUGUCAUGUAGCGGUGAAAUGCUUAGAUAUGACACAGAACACCGAUUGCGAAGGCAGCUUGCUAAGCUGUAACUGACGCUGAGGCACGAAAGCGUGGGGAGCAAACA
rnacentral:rRNA from 1 species